rnacentral:rRNA from 1 species
UACAGAGGGGGCAAGCGUUGUUCGGAAUUACUGGGCGUAAAGGGCGCGUAGGCGGCCCUCUAAGUCAUGCGUGAAAUCCCUGGGCUCAACCCAGGAACUGCGUCCGAUACUGGUUGGCUUGAAUCCGGGAGAGGGAUGCGGAAUUCCAGGUGUAGCGGUGAAAUGCGUAGAUAUCUGGAGGAACACCGGUGGCGAAGGCGGCAUCCUGGACCGGCAUUGACGCUGAGGCGCGAAAGCGUGGGGAUCAAACAGG